GGCGUUAAUAUCUUCGUAUGCAACUGCGUGUUAAAUGAAAAGGUUAAAGAUGGCUUCAAGAAGGAGAAAAUACGACGCUUAAACAAAUCGAUAUGACGAGUGGUUAUCACUGAAUCUGCCUAACGUGUCGAAAGAAUCAACCGAUGAACGACGUGAUUGCGAUUAAGACAACACUGA